GCGGAAGUGGUGAAAUUGGUAGACACGCUAGAUUUAGGUUCUAGUGCCGCAAGGUGUGAGAGUUCAAGUCUCUCCUUCCGCACCA
rnacentral:tRNA from 2 species